GGUUCUGGUGCUGGUGCUGGUGCUGGUUCUGGUGCUGGUUCUGGUUCUGGUCCUGGUCCUGGUCCUGGUCCUGG
rnacentral:miRNA from 12 species